AUUGAACGCUGGCGGCAGGCUUAACACAUGCAAGUCGAGCGAGCGGCGGACGGGUGAGUAAUGUCUGGGAAACUGCCUGAUGGAGGGGGUUAACUACUGAAAACGGUAGCUAAUCCCGCAUACCAUCAGAUGUGCCUAGAGGGGAUUAGCUAGUAGGUGGGGUAAUGGCUCACCUAGGCGACGAUCCCUCGCUGGCCUGAGAGGAUGACCAGCAACACGGGACCUGGAACACGGUCCAGACUCCUACGGGAGGCAGAAGUGGGGAAUAUUGCAAAUGGGGCGAAAGCCUGAUGCAGCCAUGCGGCGGGGGUGAAGAAGGCCUUCGGGUGGUAAAGCACUUUCAGCGAGGAGGCGUUACUCGCAGAAGAAGCACCGGCUAACUACGUGCCAGCAGCCGCGGUAAUAC
rnacentral:rRNA from 1 species